UGGGUAGACCAGAUGAUCGCGUGCGCAAGCAUGAGGAAAGUCCGGGCUCCACAGAGCAAGGAUGCCGAGAUAACGUCCGGCGUAGGUAACUAUAGGGAAAGUGCAACAGAAACACACCGCCGAAACGGGUAAUGCCGUGGUAAGGUUGAAAUGGUGAGGUAAGAGCUCACCGGCGUCAUGGAAACAUGGCGGCCGUGUAAACCCCAUCCGGAGCAAGGUCGAAAGGGCAGUAAGACGGUUGCUCGCCGUCGCCCGGUAGGUGGACCGCAAGAGCGUGCAGCGAUGUUACGCCUCAGAUAGAUGAUCGUCUAAUACAGAACCCGGCUUAUAGGGCUACCCAUGAU
rnacentral:RNase_P_RNA from 1 species